UACGUAGGUGGCAAGCGUUGUCCGGCAUUAUUGGGCGUAAAGCGCGCGCAGGUGGUUUCUUAAGUCUGAUGUGAAAGCCCACGGCUCAACCGUGGAGGGUCAUUGGAAACUGGGGAACUUGAGUGCAGGAGAGAAGAGUGGAAUUCCACGUGUAGCGGUGAAAUGCGUAGAGAUGUGGAGGAACACCAGUGGCGAAGGCGACUCUUUGGCCUGUAACUGACACUGAGGCGCGAAAGCGUGGGGAGCAAACAGG
rnacentral:rRNA from 1 species